AGCAGCCGCGGUAAUUCCAGCUCCAAUAGCGUAUAUUAAAGUUGUUGCGGUUAAAAAGCUCGUAGUUGAAUUUCGGGGUCAGUAGGUCGGUCGCGCCACUGGUAUGAACUGGUUUUACUGAUUCCUCCCUCUUGAAGAACUGUAAUGCCAUUAAUUUGGUGUUGCAGGGAAUCAGGACUGUUACUUUGAAAAAAUUAGAGUGUUUAAAGCAGGCUUUAGCUUGAAUACAUUAGCAUGGAAUAAUGAAAUAGGACGUUUGAUCCUAUUUUGUUGGUUUCUAGGAUUGACGUAAUGAUUAAUAGGGAUAGUUGGGGGCAUUAGUAUUCAAUUGUCAGAGGUGAAAUUCUUGGAUUUAUUGAAGACUAACUACUGCGAAAGCAUUUGCCAAGGAUGUUUUCAUUAAUCAAGAACGAAGUUAGGGAUCGAAGACGAUCAGAUACCGUCGUAGUCUUAACCAUAAACUAUGCCGACUAGGGAUCGGAUGAUGUUAAUUUUUCAAAUGACUCAUUCGGCGCCUUAC
rnacentral:rRNA from 1 species